rnacentral:rRNA from 1 species
GUGAGGAAUAUUGCGCAAUGGAGGCAACUCUGACGCAGCCAUGCCGCGUGCAGGAAGAAGGCGCUACGCGUUGUAAACUGCUUUUAACCGGGAAGAAACCCCAGGACGUGUCCUGGGUUGACGGUACCGGAGGAAUAAGCACCGGCUAACUUCGUGCCAGCAGCCGCGGUAAUACGAAGGGUGCAAGCGUUAUCCGGUUUCAUUGGGUUUAAUGGGUGCGUAGGCGGAGCGUUAAGUCAGUGGUGAAAUCCUGCAGCUUAACUGUAGACUUGCCAUUGAUACUGGCGCUCUUGAGUGCGCUUGAAGUGGGCGGAAUGUGCCGUGUAGCGGUGAAAUGCUUAGAUAUGGCACAGAACACCAAUUGCGAAGGCAGCUCACUAAGGCGAUACUGACGCUGAGGCACGAAAGCGUGGGGAUCGAACAGGAUUAGAAACCCUUGUAGUCC